rnacentral:lncRNA from 1 species
GCUCUCAACUGCUAAGCCAUCUCUUCAGCUCCGGGAAACUUUCACAGAGCUGCCUUUGACUACCUGCUGAGUAUCCUAGCUGGGGCAACUGUCUACCUCGACCAUUGUCUUUCCUGUGGUUCUCAGUUCCCUGAGCUCAGGGCCUUGUGAAGGGAGUAAAAUAAGGGCAACAUGUAAGAUAAGAUGGAGCUGGAUCUAGCUUGAGUGGAGGAUUGAAAUAACACAGCAAGGAAAUCAGAUGGAGCAGAUCGGAAAAGACUAGACAUAGGUUGUGUGUGUAUGUAUGUGCUGGGGGUACUGAUCAGGCCCUACUACUGACAAACUGUGGAGUGCCUGGACUUGUAUUUUGAUCACGCAUUUCCCUCUCCGUUUUCAGUAUUUCUUUCCUUCUUUGUCACAGAGAAGAUGUCAGGAAAAGUCACCAUGUAGUUCUGUGGACUUCACACAGGCUCAGCAUUGUUGUCGACUAAAGAUAGAAGCUAGGGGCCCGCCUCCACUCCAUCUCUUCUCAUGUGUACCACAGCUCUGAUGGAACCCCAGCAAAGAACUGGAAUAGACUCCGAAAG